AAUCAAGCUUCAUGGCUCAGUUCAGAAGCAGGGGAUUUUUGUAAGGAUGCUACUCCCUGCCCCAGCUGAAGGCAAGCCCUAAAUAUGAACCUCCUGGAGUCGAUUUAAAGAUGGCAGAGCUUUGAUCAUCUUGAUGACAAUGGGGGGAAGGCAUCACAGCUCCCUGAGGAUGCCGCGGAGCCAUCAGCUGUGGCCUUUCCCGCCAGGAGGGAGGUGAAGUGCGCCAAUGGAAACAUUCAGUGCUCGGAGAAGAAAAGGCCUAUUGUUACUCCCGGGAGGGUGUCAGUGGGGGCGCUGGCUGAACGCAGUGGUGGAAGGGGUGAUCUCUCAGCCGUCAGGAGAGAAUGCAUUCAGGCCCUCAGCUCUAGGAGUGUGUUUUUCCCCCCUCCUCUUUUCAAGCCUGUAUCAUCUCAGCAAGUGCCUCAAGUGAGCAGCAGACAGGACAGAGGCCAGCCACUGGGGAGGCAGGGCUGGAGGAGCAGGCAGCUCCUCUCACCCUCCCAGGGCCAUUCUCAUGCUGCAAAGCCCUGUGAGGACAGACUGACAUGGCCUGGAGAGUGCGGCAAUCCAUUGCUGCAGAGAGUGGAGCAGGCGGCGCUCACUCUCAGUGCCCAUAGCAAUUGCUCUGGAGGAGAUGCCUUGGGGGAGGCGGAAGUUGCCCACACAGGAAAGCCCUUGGAGUCUGUUGGAUUAGCAUCAGCUGCACUCCUGCUGCUGCACAGGAACCUCACUGCAACAGCAUUUGCUGGAGAAUUUGGAACAAGAAGACCUCGUUGGACUUUAUCCAAGGGGAUUUAGUCACUGCAGAUCUAAAACUCCUCAUAAGGCUGUGGCACAGUUCCAGAACCUGGCUCCAAGGAAGAGGUCAUACCAGAUACCGCAGAUAUGCCUGUAUAGUAUGUGUUUGAGGGGUAUGUGUGAAGACAGAAGAUGCUCAGCUGCUUACAGUAGACACUCACUGUAUGUGUUGAAUUGAGACUGGGGCCUCCCCAUCACAGCCUCCAUCUGGGACAGAGGCUCAGAGAUGCUGCCUUCCAUUUUUCUCUCACCCCUCCUCAGAAAGUGCCUCAGGCUUGUUUGUCUCUGUCAGGGCAGGUCCCCAUGCAGAUUAGCUAAAGCCAAAGGGUGACAUGGAUUGCAGCUUUGUCCAGCCGAGGCUGCGGCUCUUCCUGGGAGCCUUUCCUCAAAUUCCAGAUUCCUUGCUCAGCCAGCCGAGUCCAUCCAUUUCCGUCUCAGGCCCUUCCAGUCCUGGUUUCCAGAGCAGUUCCUAUUUCCUGCGUCUAGCCUGCAUCAUCCCUGGGUCAGG
rnacentral:lncRNA from 10 species